rnacentral:rRNA from 1 species
GUUAAUUAUUCGCAAUGGCACACUGAAAGAUCUACUAAUAAGAAAGUGCAUGCGAUAGAAGAAAUUAAUGUUUUGAGUGGAAAGAUGGAUGAACUUAUGAAAUUAUUUGCUAAUAAAAGUGUUUCUUCUGAUCCUAAUGAUAUGCCUUUGUCUACUUUGAUUGAGAAUAAUAAUGAAUCUAUGGAUGUGAAUUUUUUUGGUAGGAACAAUUUUGGUAACAACGCGUAUAGAGGAAACUUUAAUCCUAGGCCUUACCCUAGCAAUUCCUCUAAUAAUUAUGGUAAUCCCUACAACAAUUCUUAUGGAAAUUAUAAUAAGAUGCCCUCUGAUUUUGAAUCUAAUAUUAAAGAAUUUAUUACUUCG